UUUCUUUGUUUCGUCAGACUCAGUUUGGGCAUUUUCUGGAUAUGCCUGAGUUUGUUUUUCAUCCACAAGUCGUACAUAGUUUAUUACUAAGGGAAGUUUUACAGCCUAAUCCUAAGGAGUUUUGGGCUAAGGUUGCUGGCCGUUGCAUACGGUUUAGUGCCGAAGAAUUUUACCUGAUUUCUGGUUUAGAUUGUUUCGGUGAUUGCAACAAGUUGUUGUUUUCACAGGAAACAAAUCAAUUGGUAGAAACAUGUUUCCGUGGUGUAAAAACUAUUGACAACAAAGCCAUCGAGGAUGCUUUUUUGGGUAGUCGGUGGGGUUUGGAUGAGUCUAUUGGUUUGAAAAUGGCUGUUUUGUAUUUCAUUCAGUGUUUUCUUCUUAGCAAUACUCCUGACAAAGAAGUGUGUAGGUUUGUUCUAGAUGUAGUUGAUAGCGGUCGGUGGGAUGAGUAUUGUUGGGGUAGGGAAUCAUUUGAAUUGACAAUUGACUCAUUCAAAGGUAGGAUUGAGCAUGGGAUCAUUAUGAAAAAUAGAAAGGCAGAGAAGGGAGACCAAUAUGAUGGCUGGUAUAGGGCAUUGGGAUGUCCUUGGGUUUUCACUGUUUAGUUUUAUGAAUGCUGUCCUGCAAUGGUGAACUCUUUCUGUAAGAGAGUUUCAUCUUCUAUUCCCAGGAUUCUGAACUGGAGCAACACCAUCGUCACCAAAAAUCCAACCCUUCGAGACUUGAAGGGCAAGAUUUUUGAUUUACCUUUGGAGAAGUUGAAGAUAAAAAACAUGCGUCCUACUGAUGAAGAGAGGCAGCAGCUUCAACUUGACGGUAUAUUUAUCGAUGAAUCUAUUGAUGAACGUGGUGUAGCGAAGCAAUCCUUCGAGGGUGGGUCAUCUUCAAAGAAGUCUGAUUCAGCAGAUGGUUGUUUUCCAGUUGCUCAACCAUUUCCUCUGCCACAAGUUUUGCAUAGUCCAUGAAGUCAAAACUUUCUUCCCCAAAUUCCAGUACUCUUGCUUCAAUUAUAUGUUGUUGAUUUGUUGAG